GAUUGCAUGACCUGCACAGGCGAAAACCCUCUCCGAUGGUGUUGAUGAGGCCGUAAAGCGCCUAGAGACAAUUGUAUUGUUAUGGCGCUAUAUAAAUAAAAUUGAAUUGAAUUGAAUUGAAUUGAAUAUAUGUAUCUGAAAGUUCAAGUUUCAAUGACUUUCAGUUACGUUAAAUGACCGGACUACUUGCGUUGCGGAAUGAUAUGAAAGAUGUGAAUUAGAAGCACAAAACCCGUUGCCAAUGACUGCAGUCAUACAUAUUUCGCAGCAGUGAAUUUACAGACCUGCCAACGUUGGGAUGGCCCAUUCAAAUCAACUGAACUUUUUGGAACAUUCUGAAGAGUAUAAUAAGAGUAUAAUAAGUACAGACACUCCUCCCAAACAUGAGAGCGAAGGUAAGAUAAUCUAUUCACUUAAAGAAUUCUGUGCAUUUUAUGAACCCGUAGUUAGCCCGACUGGCUAGUCUUCUGUUCAUGAAGGCUUCAUUUAAAAAAAGAACCUUAUAAAUGCAAGUGGGUGCAAAGUGACGAGUGGUAUUGUAAGGUCUUAGUGCACAAUAUUUGUGGUUUUGUCCUUAUCGUCCAGGUAGCGUUGGAGUAGCUAACAAGCAAGCGAACAUGACUGUCCAGUCAACUAGCAUGCUAGCCUUAUUCAUGGAUAUCAAAAGACGUCCCUUCCAAAAAGCCUCCCGCGAUAUUUGUGCUCGAUUCGGACCAAAGACCCUCUCCCUCCAGCUAUCAAGUGCUGUGUCGGGAAUGAAGUUCUUUGGUAGAUAAUUCCUUCUGCUCUCCACCGUGAAUGGGCCUCUUCAUCCCUCCUCACAACUUAAAAGCAGAUGACACUUCCUGAUGGACUUUAUAGAAGCGAGUUCUAAAUGCUCAGCCACAUUAAUCGUUUUUGGUCUGGUUAGAAUUUCCAUUUUGAUCAGACGUAAAGAAUGCCAUUCCCCUUGUUAGGCAUUAUUAAUACUCGUGCUCCUUGUCACUAGUGACAUCCUGAUUUCUUAUGAAAGCACAGCACCACAUUUUUGUUAACUAAAGUUGAUUUGACCAAUUGCAUUUGUGAUGGCAUGAGCUAUUCAAGCCACAUGUAAUGAUUGUUUCUGCAGCAUUCUAUUAUACAUGUCCACUACGAUAAAUGAGUCGCAUGAGGAUGGAUUUCCUUUCCAAAUUCAAUAAUCUUAUCUAUUAUGUAGGCUCUUUUUAAGCCUUCUGCUGUUACAUAUCCUUUAAAAUGGUCAACUCUAUACUUUAUUUAUAAUUGAAGCCAACCAUUUAUUCCACCGAUCUAAAUCCUUUGGGAUAGAAAAAAAUUGUAGAUUGGGAUUUCUUUGGCGUCUGUUACAGCCGACAGCACAACAUAUCCCGGGCAUGUUGAACUUUCUGUAUCUUCCUCCGUUUUCUCUGGUAGUUGUGGGUUGUCAAGUCAAAUUUAUAUAUAACAUUUAAAAACGACUCGCGUUGACUAAAGUGCUGUAGUGAUUGACACAGCUAAACUCAAGGUGGGGCUGUGAUCAUGUUGGACACAAACAUGGCGGCGCUAAAGCACUGUGACGUCACAUGGUAUCCAUGAAUAACAUGAGAACAUAAGUGUUGCGUAAACCCUGUGUACAUUGUUGGUUUUCGCAUAUGUGCGCUUUUAGUAGACCUAGAAAAGUGUUGUAGGUAGUUAAUCUCAAACCAUAGAGAACUUGUAACCUUACUGUUCUAUCUUUGUCCCCCCAGUGGAGGAAGAAGCGCAUGCGUAGGUGAGUCCUUUUUGUAUUACAUCUGCAUGUUUAGAAAUCAAUUCCUGUGUUUAGCUUAAGUAGUAUUUUGCAAAUGUGAUUAGGCCUACUUAAUGCUUGUGAAACUAAUGAUUGUUUCUGUCCUUAGGCUGAAGCGCAAAAGGAGAAAGAUGAGGCAGAGGUCCAAGUAAACUGCUUCCCUUCUGCUGCAGCUGGAACUGCUCCUCCUAGACCUUCCCACCGACCCCUCGCCUUCUCCAGAAACCCAAGCUGAGGCCUUUUGAAGGACUCCUACAUUCCUCAGAAGGAUGCGGGCACCCUUGUUGGAUCUCCUGGCUCUUCUAUUUGUGAUGUGCUGACCUGUGAAAGCUUCUCUUGGACAUUCUGGACUUCCGCCAGCUCAGCAAAGUUUUUGUUUAUAUUUCCUUGAAUAAAGAAAUUUGAUUUGGAAAAGGGGAAAUGCUG
ensembl:lncRNA